rnacentral:rRNA from 1 species
AGAACGAACGCUGGCGGCAUGCCUAAUACAUGCAAGUCGAACGAAGGCUUCGGCCUUAGUGGCGCACGGGUGCGUAACGCGUGGGAAUCUGCCCCUUGGUUCGGAAUAACAGUUGGAAACGACUGCUAAUACCGGAUGAUGACGAAAGUCCAAAGAUUUAUCGCCAAGGGAUGAGCCCGCGUAGGAUUAGCUAGUUGGUGAGGUAAAGGCUCACCAAGGCGACGAUCCUUAGCUGGUCUGAGAGGAUGAUCAGCCACACUGGGACUGAGACACGGCCCAGACUCCUACGGGAGGCAGCAGUAGGGAAUAUUGGACAAUGGGCGAAAGCCUGAUCCAGCAAUGCCGCGUGAGUGAUGAAGGCCUUAGGUUGUAAAGCUCUUUUACCCGAGAUGAAUAAUGACAGUAUCGGGAGAAUAAGCCCCGGCUAACUCCGUCGCCAGCAGCCGAC